ACUAACAUACUCUGCAAUGGGAUAGGAUCCGACGCCCCAUUGAGGGAUAUAUAGGCUCUCCUAUCCAACUCCUAUCCUGACUCGUCCUUGUCGUCCUUGUCCAAGUUUUUCAAACUUGACACAU
rnacentral:ribozyme from 1 species